rnacentral:piRNA from 1 species
UUCACUCCUGGGAAACCCCCUCUUCACUAGU